rnacentral:tRNA from 1 species
AAGAAAGUGUCAGAGUGGUAAUGAGGUUGGCUUGAAACCAUCAGAUGGGGGUUCAACUCCUCCCUUUCUCG